CAUAGGUGGGUGACGUUAUCGACCAGGAAGCUUAAAAGCAUGUGUGGCAGUGCCAGUGUGGUGGUUACAAAAAUAUAUAAAUUAUAAAAUAUAUAAAAUAUAUAUAUAAUUAAUAAUAAUUAGUGUAAUUAAAAAUAAUUAGUGUCAUUGAAAAAUAAACUAAAUGCCGUUAAUGCAUAGUGUAUUAUUUAUAAUACAGAGACUCAGCAGAUAUUGCAGCAGCUCCGUGUCCUGUGUCUUUUAUUGACUAUAUCUCCCCUAACCAGGCGGUCAGGGUACAACACCGGCGUUAUCCUUCUGUCAUUUCAGCAAGCACUCUGUGUGUUGUCAGUCAAUCUGUGUUGUGAGUCUUAUUUACUGUUGUCUGUCCAGUUAUGCAACCAUAAUAAGCUUCAUCAUGCCCAAGGCAAAUGAAAAAAAAGAAAUAUAAAGAGGAGGGCGAGACUGAGUCGCGCUAUAGAUUGUGUGUUCCUCCCU
ensembl:lncRNA